rnacentral:rRNA from 1 species
CAGCCGCCACGGUAACACGAAGGGUGCAAGCGUUACUCGGAAUUACUGGGCGUAAAGCGUGCGUAGGCGGCUUCUUAAGUCGGAUGUGAAAUCCCUGAGCUUAACUUAGGAAUUGCAUUCGAUACUGGGAAGCUAGAGUAUGGGAGAGGAUGGUAGAAUUCCAGGUGUAGCGGUGAAAUGCGUAGAGAUCUGGAGGAAUACCGAUGGCGAAGGCAGCCAUCUGGCCUAAUACUGACGCUGAGGUACGAAAGCAUGGGGAGCAAACAGGAUUAGAUACCCCUGUAGUCCCUGUCUCUUAUAC